CCGGUUGAUCCUGCCGGACCUGACUGCUAUCGGAUUGGUACUAAGCCAUGCGAGUCAUUGUACAAUACAAGGCGGACGGCUCAGUAACACGUAGUCAACCUAACUCGUGGACGUGGAUAACCUCGGGAAACUGAGAAUAAACCACGAUAGGUCAUAGUGCCUGGAAUGGCUUAUGGUCCAAACAGUUUACUGCCAUGGGAUGGGACUGCGGCCUAUCAGCUUGUUGGUGAGGUAAUGGCCCACCAAGGCGAUUACAGGUACGGGCUCUGAGAGGAGAAGCCCGGAGAUGGGUACUGAGACACGGACCCAGGCCCUAUGGGGCGCAGCAGGCGAGAAACCUUAGCAAUGUGCGAAAGCACGACUGGGUCAGUCCGAGUGAUUCCUGAUAAAGGAGUCUUUUGCUUGUCCUAAAAGCACAGGUGAAUAAGGGGUGGGCAAGUCUGGUGUCAGCCGCCGCGGUAAUACCAGCACCUCGAGUGGUCAGGACGUUUAUUGGGCCUAAAGCAUCCGUAGNCCGGCUCUGCAAGUCUUCGGUUAAAUCCACCUGGCUUCAACAGAAUGGGGCUGCUGGAGAUUCUACAGAGCUAGG
rnacentral:rRNA from 1 species